UACAGAGGGGGCAAGCGUUGUUCGGAAUUACUGGGCGUAAAGGGCGCGUAGGCGGCCUGUUAAGUCGAACGUGAAAUCCCCGGGCUCAACCCGGGAACUGCGUCCGAUACUGGCAGGCUUGAAUCCGGGAGAGGGAUGCGGAAUUCCAGGUGUAGCGGUGAAAUGCGGUAGAUAUCGAGAGGAACACCUGCGGCGAAGGCGGGUUGCUGGGCUGACACGUGACGCUGAGGCGCGAAAGCGUGGGGAGCAAACAG
rnacentral:rRNA from 1 species